CGUAGGGUGCGAGCGUUAAUCGGAAUUACUGGGCGUAAAGCGUGCGCAGGCGGUUUUGUAAGACAGGCGUGAAAUCCCCGGGCUCAACCUGGGAACUGCGCUUGUGACUGCAAGGCUAGAGUACGGCAGAGGGGGGUGGAAUUCCACGUGUAGCAGUGAAAUGCGUAGAGAUGUGGAGGAACACCAAUGGCGAAGGCAGCCCCCUGGGUCGAUACUGACGCUCAUGCACGAAAGCGUGGGUAGCAAACAGGAUUAGAUACCCUGGUAGUCCACGCCCUAAACGAUGUCAACUAGGUGUUGGGUGGGUAAAACCAUUUAGUACCGGAGCUAACGCGUGAAGUUGACCGCCUGGGGAGUACGGCCGUAAGGUUA
rnacentral:rRNA from 1 species